rnacentral:rRNA from 1 species
GACGAACGCUGGCGGCGUGCUUAACACAUGCAAGUCGAACGAAGUGGCGAACGGGUGAGUAAUACGUGGGUAACCUGCCCUCCUUUUUGGGAUAAGCCUUGGAAACGGGGUCUAAUACCGAAUACAGGGGGAUGGGCUCGCGGCCUAUCAGCUUGUUGGUGGGGUGAUGGCAUACCAAGGCGGUGACGGGUCGCCGGCCUGAGAGGGUGACCGGCCACAUUGGGACUUAGAAACGGCCCAGCCUCCUACGGGAGGCAGCAGUGGGGAAUAUUGCACAAUGGGCGCAAGCCUGAUGCAGCCAUGCCGCGUGUAUGAAGAAGGCCUUAGGGUUGUAAAGCACUUUAAGUUGGGAGGCGUUACCAACAGAAUAAGCACCGGCUAACUUCGUGCCAGCAGCCGCGGUAAUAC